GCCGCUGUAGCUCAACUGGAAGAGCCAACGUCUCGUAAACGUGAGGUUCCGGGUUCAAAUCCCGGCGGCGGCU
rnacentral:tRNA from 1 species